AUGCAGGCUCUGAUGGAUGUUCGGUGCAAGAAUCUAGUGAACCCUGUAUGCGACUGGCUCGGUGAGAUUUACGAGCCCGCCUUCAGGGAAUUUGUGAUUCCGGGACGUGGAAGACUGCCGUUAGACGAGGAAUCCGUGUUCUGCAUGUUGGGUGUGCCCCGUGGAGAAAUCAAAGUCCCGUAUGAGGUAAAUAAUACGACUGAGGAAACGUUGUUUGCCCGUUUGUUUCCUAGGAUGACAUCCAUGCCGAACACGACCGUGCUGGCAAAUUCGCUGGAGGGCAUGAAAACCCAUGGAGAAGUUUUUAAGAUGAAGCUACUCAUGUACCUGAUCUCAGCUGUUUUUGCGCCGACCACAUCUCUUCGCCCAAGCAACAAAUGCUUCCCCAUCCUGGCAAAACUAAAAGAAGUGAAGAACAUGAAUUGGUGUAAGUUCAUUGCGGACUUCCUGCAUGAUGCAUUCUCAAACAAGAUGUACCAGAAGGGUUGUCGACUCCAUUUAAUGCUCAUGUACGCCGAUCGUCUUGAUCUGUCCACCGUGGACUUUACUGGGAUAGGAGGCCCGCCGCCUCCACACAAGUUUGUUGUUUCUGCAUGGACUUACGAUGCUGUCAAGGCUGUGCUUGCCGCGGACAAGAUAACUGAUACAAAAUACGGGAAACUGCAGCUGAUGGCCAAGCAUGCUAUAGACUACAGCGUGUUUGGUCGGCCUCAAAACUUUGGAAAAGUGGAUGGACGUGCACUCAGCUCCGUCUUGUCCUGUUGA
rnacentral:rRNA from 1 species